rnacentral:rRNA from 1 species
GUGGGGAAUCUUGCGCAAUGGGCGAAAGCCUGACGCAGCAACGCCGCGUGCGGGAAGACGGCCUUAGGGUUGUAAACCGCUUUCAGCAGGGACGAAAAUGACGGUACCUGCAGAAGAAGCUCCGGCUAACUACGUGCCAGCAGCCGCGGUAAUACGUAGGGAGCGAGCGUUGUCCGGAUUUAUUGGGCGUAAAGAGCUCGUAGGCGGUUUGGUAAGUCGGGUGUGAAAGCUCCGGGCUCAACUCGGAGAGGUCACUCGAUACUGCCAUGACUGGAGUCCGGUAGGGGGGUGUGGAAUUCCCAGUGUAGCGGUGAAAUGCGCAGAUAUUGGGAGGAACACCAAUGGCGAAGGCAGCACCCUGGGCCGGUACUGACGCUGAGGAGCGAAAGCGUGGGGAGCAAACAGGAUUAGAUACCCGAGUAGUCC